CUAUAGUGGAAUACUGACGUCAUCAGCCCCGUCUCAGAGAUGAAGUGAAGCUGUAUCGCUUACUCACUAGCUGCUUUCUUUCAGCUCAUAGUAACCCAAACGGAGAGUAUAGAAAUAUCUUCCCCUCUGCAAUGAAAACCAACCCGGUCCUUAGGUGAAUUUAAUUAAUACACUCAUGACCCCAUCAUAAUGCAGCAUGCAAACUGGUUCAUCUGCAUUUCUCUCUAAAGCUGCACAUUUCUGCCCCCAU
rnacentral:lncRNA from 1 species